rnacentral:rRNA from 1 species
CGGGCCCGCACAAGCAGCGGAGCGUGUGGUUUAAUUCGAUGUUACACGAAGAACCUUACCAGGGUUUGACAUGCAAGUGGUAGGAAGCCGAAAGGUGACCGACCUUCGGGGAGCUUGCACAGGUGCUGCAUGGCUGUCGUCAGCUCGUGUCGUGAGAUGUUCGGUUAAGUCCGCUAACGAGCGCAACCCUCGCUGUGUGUUAUAUGUGUCACACGGGACUGCCGGUCUUAAGCCGGAGGAAGGUGGGAUGAUGUCAAGUCAGCAUGGCCUUUAUGCCCAGGGCUACACACGUGCUACAAUGGGCGGUACAAAGAGAAGCAACCUCGCGAGGGUGAGCAAAUCUCAAAAAGCCGUUCUCAGUUCGGAUUGAAGUCUGCAACUCGACUUCAUGAAGUCGGAAUCGCUAGUAAUCGCGGAUCAGCAUGCCGCGGUCGAAUACGUUCCCGGGCCUU